AACUCGAAGAGUUUGAUCCUGGCUCAGAACGAACGCUGGCGGCAUGGCUAAGACAUGCAAGUCGUACGGACCACCUUUUGCUUGCAUUAGGUGGUUAGUGGCGAAAGGGAGCGUAAUGCAUGGGUAACGUACCUCGGACACCGGGAUAGCCACGGCCUUUGGCCUUUAGCGAAAGUGUGGGUAAUACCGGAUGAUAUCGCUGGAUCGCAUGGUCCUGGCGAUCAAAGGUGGGGACCUUCGGGCCUGCCGGUCUGAGAGCGGCCCAUGUCCUAUCAGCUUGUUGGUGGGGUAACGGCCCACCAAGGCUGCGACGGGUAGCGGGCGUGAGAGCGUGGCCCGCCUCAUCGGGACUGAGACACUGCCCGGACACCUACGGGUGGCUGCAGUAACGAAUAUUGGGCAAUGGGCGCAAGCCUGACCCAGCAAUGCCGCGUGCAGGACGAAGCCCUUCGGGGUGUAAACUGCUGUCAGGGUUCAGCAAGCAAACCGGGUGAAUAGCCCGGGGCGUUGAGCAGACCCAAAGGAAGCCUCGGCUAACUCUGUGCCAGCAGCCGCGGUAAGACAGAGGAGGCAAGCGUUGUUCGGAAUCACUGGGCUUAAAGCGGGUGUAGGCGGCUUGGCAAGUGUUCUGUGAAAGCCCACGGCUCAACCGUGGAAUUGCAGGGCAAACUGCCUGGCUUGAGGUCGGUAGAGGCGCCUGGAACUCUAGGUGGAGCGGUGAAAUGCGUAGAUAUCUAGAGGAACGCCGGAGGCGAAAGCGGGGCGCUGGGCCGAUUCUGACGCUGAGACCCGAAAGCGUGGGGAGCAAACAGGAUUAGAUACCCUGGUAGUCCACGCCGUAAACGAUGCACACUGGAUGCCGGCCGCUCUGACGUGGUCGGCGUCGAAGCAAAAGUGCUAAGUGUGCCGCCUGGGGAGUACGGCCGCAAGGCUAAAACUCAAAGG
rnacentral:rRNA from 1 species